UGGAAUAUGUCUUGGGCUACGUUCGGUUGGGCUGGUCAAAGCAUAAUGCUGGCUUGCCCACUCCAAGUUAGGAGUUGGGCAAUGGGACUUGGGCGAAGGCUUAGGUCUCCUUGACCCUAAAGUGGAGGGCACAGCGUGAGGCUGGCUUAACAGAGCAGCGAUCACCUUCCUCUCCUCACAGUGGAGGAAUAACAGGCUGCUGCACUAUUCAGCUCACAAUAACCGGGUGUGCCAAGCUCUUGAACCA
rfam:Cajanus cajan chromosome 10, whole genome shotgun sequence.